rnacentral:sRNA from 1 species
UUUUUUUGGAAGUCGUCUUGAUUUUCUAAGUUCAUUUACAUAUAUUUGUCUUCUAAUCAAGUUUAGUUAUGUUAAUGUUUUUGGAUAGAACCAAGUGUCGUUAGCUCAAUUCGUAAAGAUCCUACGCAAAGCUUAGAGGUCGCCGGUUCGAAUGACAUUUAGAACAAAACUAAUGUUACAUAAUGUGGUUUCGGGUCUGGGAUUACGGACUUCAACCCAAAACCUCCUAGAUUUAAAAAAAAAAAAAUGCUUUUGGAUAGAAAA